rnacentral:misc_RNA from 1 species
GAUGAAGAACGCAGCGAAAUGCGAUACGUAAAGUGAAUUGCAAAUUCAGUGAAUCAUCGAGUCUUUGAACGCACAUUGCGCCCCCUGGUAUUCCGGGGGGCAUGCCUGUCCGAGCGUCAUUGCUGCCCUCAAGCACGGCUUGUGUGUUGGGCCCCGUCCUCCGAUCCCGGGGGACGGGCCCGAAAGGCAGCGGCGGCACCGCGUCCGGUCCUCGAGCGUAUGGGGCUUUGUCACCCGCUCUGUAGGCCCGGCCGGCGCUUGCCGAUCAACCCAAAUUUUUUAUCCAGGUUGACCUCGGAUCAGGUAGGGAUACCCGCUGAACUUAAGCAUAUCAAUAAGCGGAGGA